AGCGAACGCUGGCGGCAGGCCUAACAAAUGCAAGUCGAACGAAGUCUUCGGACUUAGUGGCGGACGGGUGAGUAACACGUGGGAACGUACCUUUUGGUUCGGAAUAACGCAGGGAAACUUGCGCUAAUACCGAAUGCGCUCUUCGGAGGAAAGAUUUAUCGCCAUUAGAGCGGCCCGCGUUGGAUUAGGUAGUUGGUGGGGUAAAGGCCCACCACGCCUACGAUCCAUAGCUGGUCUGAGAGGAUGAUCAGCCACACUGGGACUGAGACACGGCCCAGAAUCCUACGGGAGGGAGCAGUGGGGAAUCUUGCGCAAUGGGCGGAGGCCUGACGCAGCCAUGCAGCGAGAAUGAUGAAGGUCUUAGGAUUGUAAAAUUCUUUUACCGGGGACGAUAAUGACGGUACCCGGAGAAAAAGCCCCGGCUAACUUCGUGCCAGCCGCCGCAGUAA
rnacentral:rRNA from 1 species